rnacentral:rRNA from 2 species
GCUGCUUUUCCCAAGAUAUGCCAUGCAUGUCUAAGUAUAAGCAAUUAUACCGUGAAACUGCGAAUGGCUCAUUAAAUCAGUUAUCGUUUAUUUGAUAAUACCUUACUACUUGGAUAACCGUGGUAAUUCUAGAGCUAAUACAUGCUGAAAAUCCCGACUUCGGAAGGGAUGUGUUUAUUAGAUAAAAAACCAAUGCCCUUCGGGGCUUUUUGGUGAUUCAUGAUAACUUUACGGAUCGCAUAGCCUUGCGCUGGCGACGGUUCAUUCAAAUUUCUGCCCUAUCAACUUUCGAUGGUAAGGUAUUGGCUUACCAUGGUUUCAACGGGUAACGGGGAAUUAGGGUUCGAUUCCGGAGAGGGAGCCUGAAAAA